AACUGUAAGUUUUCUUGCUAAAGGACAUGAUCAAAUAUUUGUGCUGCUAAUGCUAUAUAUUUUCUAGAUGGACUGGAAUUUUCUGAUGAGAUGGAUUUCCAUUUUAUGGACCUUUUCUAUUUCUUUCCGCCAUACUUAUAAAUAUUUGCAGUUUCAGGUCUCUAUUCUUGCUGAUGAGAUCUUAAAGAAUGUGGAGUAUGAUGCGUUAAGGAUUGUCUUCAACAAGUUUCACUCAGUAGUUUCAUUUGUGCCGAUAGUCUCAAUUGUAUUAUCAGCUGAAAUUGUUGAAAGGGAAUCUGAAUCUGGGGGAAAGCUUGGUGAACUAGACUCCUAUGCAGUCGAGGGUGGUGAGACAAAGGGUGAAAUACUUCAAAAUCUGGCUGAGUUCCAGUUCUCUUAUGUCAUGUUCAAUGCGGUUUUGGAGAAUGCUUGUAGUGAACAAGGAGCAAGGAUGUCUGCUAUGGAUAGCUCAAGCAGAAACGCCAGUGACAUGCUUGAUCGCCUGACUCUUACAUAUAACAGAACCCGUCAAGCUUCAAUCACCACAGAGUUGAUUGAGAUUAUAUCUGGAGCAUUGGCACUGGAAGGUUAAUUUCAAAUAUUUUUCACUGCUAGAUUUUUCCAGACGGUAAUGAAAUAAAAUUUGUGUAGGCUUCUUAUCUGAAGUGGUAGGUCUGAUUUCAUUUUUAUUCAGGAUCCUUGUGAGUACUGGAAGGUUGGACAACAUGUUUAGCAUUCUUUUGAGUUGCUAAAAAUUUGGAGUCCAAAUGUAUAACAUGCUUUGCAUUCUAUUCUUUUUUUGAAUCCAGCUAGAUGACACAAUAAUCAAAACCAUCGAGACAGCACCAGAUGAAGAACUCCGAGAAUCUAGAGAUCUGAUUCUGCACAUUCGUAGGAGAAAUUUGUAUCAGGUGGAGAGCUUGAAUUUUGUGUUUUGAUCAUGGUAGCAUGCAAACAAACAUGCUAUUAUUAAUUUUUAAAUGUGAAAGACGAAACUUACUGUAUACUGUGUUAUUUUCUGUGUUAGUUCUGUAACCAAGAUUUACUUGAUUAAGAAAAUGCAUUGUAUAUUUUAUUACCUUGCA